rnacentral:rRNA from 1 species
GCAUAUCAAUAAGCGGAGGAAAAGAAACCAACAGGGAUUGCCCUAGUAACGGCGAGUGAAGCGGCAACAGCUCAAAUUUGAAAUCUGGCCUCGGCCCGAGUUGUAAUUUGCAGAGGAUGCUUCUGGCGCGGUGCCUUCCGAGUUCCCUGGAACGGGACGCCACAGAGGGUGAGAGCCCCGUAUGGUCGGACACCAAGCCUGUGUGAAGCUCCUUCGACGAGUCGAGUAGUUUGGGAAUGCUGCUCUAAAUGGGAGGUAAAUCUCUUCUAAAGCUAAAUACCGGCCAGAGACCGAUAGCGCACAAGUAGAGUGAUCGAAAGAUGAAAAGCACCUUGAAAAGGGGGUUAAAUAGUACGUGAAAUUGUUGAAAGGGAAGCACUUAUGACCAGACUUGGGCCGGGCGGCUCAUCAGGGGUUCUCCCCUGUGCACUCCGCCCGGCACAGGCCAGCAUCGGUUCUCGUGGGGGGAUAAGACCGUCAGGAACGUAGCACCCUCCGGGGUGUGUUAUAGCCUGGCGGACGAUACCCCCGUGGGGACCGAGGUCCGCGCUCCGCAAGGAUGCUGGCGUAAUGGUCAUCAGUGACCCGUCUUGAAACACGGACCAAGGAGUCGUCCAUUAGAGCGAGCGUUUGGGUGUAAAACCCGCACGCGUAAUGAAAGUGAACGCAGGUGAGAGCUUCGGCGCAUCAUCGACCGAUCCUGAUGUUCUCGGAAGGAUUUGAGUAAGAGUUUUAACGGACGGACCCGAAAGACAGUGAACUAUGCUUGUAUAGGGUGAAGCCAGAGGAAACUCUGGUGGAGGCUAGCAGCGGUUCUGACGUGCAAAUCGAUCGUCAAAUAUGAGCAUGGGGGCGAAAGACUAAUCGAACUGUCUAGUAGCUGGUUACCGCCGA